GGCUCAUUUGUGAGGGAAGUGAAGCUAACCCCUUUGAAUUCAACAGGUCGUAACUAGAGACACACGUGUUGCGCGACGGUUAUGACCUAUCGUCUAGAGGUGUUUCUUUCCAUCAUCGUUAUUAACUGGAUGUCGAUGAAGAGGUCGAUGCCUGUCUACAUUAGAGAACCCGAUCCAGACUCAAAAUCCGUUGCAGACAGACUUCAUUGGGCAAUUCUUCGAGGGAAGAUAGUGACUGUUAACAAAUUGCUUGAUUCUGGUGUUCCUGUUGAAUUGCCUAAUCGAGCUGGUCAAACCCCAUUAUUUUGUGCAUCAUUUCAAGGGCAUUUUGACAUAGUGAAGCUUUUGCUUAAACUUGGUGCUGACCCAAAUAGGCGGUGCUCCAUUCUUUGUUGCACUCCAGUGCAUGCAGCUUGCUGGAGUGGCAAUAAUCAUCUACUCACUUCACUACUGAUUGCAGGAGGCGACCUUCGAUUGCACGAUCAAAAGAACCGCUCACCUCGGGAUUGGGCCACGAUGCAACCAAAUUCUGAUAGCCGCCUCGCCACUCUUUCGUUGAUUGAAUCAUUCCGUCAAAUGGCGAUGAAAAAUAACGAGCUCAAUGUUGACUCUGGGGUUUCCGAAUUAAAUAACAGUACUGCCCCUCGUGCCCACCGUGCUACCCUAAAGUUCCCGGCAAAAUUGCGGAAUACGCUCGCUGCGAUGGGCUUAGUCUGCAGCGAAAAUUGUGAAUUCAUUGGGCCGUUGGGCAACGUUCAAGGCACUGGCUUUGGAAAGAUACUUUAUGGACGAGGAGAAAGUGCAGCUGCGCUGUGGCCUGUUCCCUUAAUUAGUGAAACUGAAAUAAGUGAUCCUGAUGACGAUGGGUGUGGUGCUGAAGCGGAUCUCAAUGGCUUGCUUCCUCGAGGAAUAGCUUACAGGUGUGGUCCAACAACAGAAAUGGUUUCCAGGCGUUGGCACCAAACCCCGGUUACUAUCCGUCGCAUGAGAGAUAAUCAACCACCUGAUCUGUUAUUUGAAGAAUUGCAAAGCAUGAGUCGACUGAGGCAUCCAGGGUUAAUGUUGCUAUUGGGUGUAAGUGCUACACAACACUGGGAGAGCGUUCAGCUUAUAUAUGAGCCUAUAUAUCAUGGGUCACUUCAUCACAGACUACAUAUCAUGGGAUCUGCUAUACCCCUGCUUAAGAAACUACUGAUCCUAGAACAAAUUUGUGAUGCCCUAUUGUUUCUCCAUUCCAAGGAGUUACUGCAUUGCAGCGUUUCGUCGCAUGCCGUUCAUUUGGUAUCUAGAGGUCGAGCCAAGUUAGGCUGUUUGGAAACCUUGAUUGAAGACAAUAACUCAUCCAAGAGGGUGUAUCGUAAAGUUCCGUCUUCUCAUUGGGAAUGGAUGGCACCGUGGUUGGCACCAGAAUGUGCCCGUGGCGAGUCUGUGUGUACUUUGUCCGAUGUGUAUUCGUUUUGCUGUCUUGUUUGGGAGACAUGUUCUGAGAAAUUACCUUGGUCACACCUUGACUGUCAAGAGAUUAACCGCAUGUGGCAGAAAGAAAGUUGCAACAAUUCACGAAUGCUUCCGCUUGGACCUGCCAUCCCUCUUCAUGUUGGGAGUUUCCUCAAUCUGGGCCUUCAACCGGAAUUGUCCGAGCGACGUGAAAUUGAUUUGCAGGAAAUUUAUAUGAUGCUGAGGCUUCAGUCAGCAGUUUCCCACUCACAACAGAAAGAAGUCUAUCAAAAAUCGAACUCUCCACCAAUUGCGCGAAUGACAUCGUCAACACCCGUUCCCCCAAUCUACAAUCAGACGCAGAUACAGCCUCAACACGGAUGGGAUGCAGUAAAGGAGAGUUUCAAGAAAAGGCGAACUCCUCCGCCACCACCACCACCUCUUCCGCCACCCCCGCCAGGGCAGCAGCAGGUUCCGGAAGUGCUGAAUUGUACGCCAGACGAUGGCGAUACAGAGAGCAAUCAAACAGUACCGAAUGAAAAUACUCAAUGCGAUGUUCAGACCGAAUGCAACCAAACUCGGCAACAAUUAACGGUUUACACAACUCCAAGUCCUAAUGACGGUGAAAGGUUUAACUAUGUACCUAUGCCACAUCAGCGCGAAACCAGAAAUAUUCAGAGCUCUGAAUUUGCGAUUAAGCCUGCCAGUCACACAACUGAGCGCCAUUCUAUGAACUGUCUUAUGGCUCAUUCAGAUCGUAGCACAUCUACCUACCAUACACCUCCUUGUCAACGAAACGAGUCGUUCAAAAAUUGUAAUGCGUAUUCGGGUUUUAACAGUGAAAUGCGCGCAACUGUUGCCCAACCGGCGAAAAUUUAUCGCGAGGCAGCGGAAUUUGAAACUUGGCGCGCAAAGAUUGAUGAAGCAAACGAAGAAGAAAAUGCCGAAGAAGAGUCGACGGUUGAAGUUACUGGGCAUCCUUCGUCGACCUCGACUCCGAGGCACCAACACGGAGUGACAUUUUUGGCUUGCAGUUCAGGAUUGGAAGAUCCAGAAAAAGGCGUUGGACCGGAUGACAACGGAGGAGCUAAACCCAAACGUUCGCUCAAAUUUCUGCCGAAUGGAAGCCAACCUUGUUCCUCGCGAAUCCCAAGUUUUUAUACCAUCACGAAACCCAGGAAAGAAUUCGUUGCCUCGUUGACGGCCAUUUUUAACGACAAGGCUGCCACCAAUAGGACUCAUUCAAUCCUCAAACGGCGAUCGACUUCCACCCCGGAGGAGCUCUUGCUUGAACCCAACAUCGGAGAUACGUUUAAUGAGGGUAUCGAUUGCAUUUCACGGGGAGUUCAGUGCAACGAAUGUGAAUGAGGAUCGCGCUUGCCGGAAACAACGUACCAUUAUAGUGCUUUCGAAGCCUCGUCCACGUUCAAUAACCAAUUGAAUAUGUGGUUUGUUGACUACGUCAUAGACCGACUCGACCAAUAGCGGCGCGGUACUAGGUGUGACGAUGUAAGUAAACAAAGUUGACGUGUACGCUUGAACGAAGACAAACGUGGCCAAGCUCCAAACUCCGGCUACCAAACGAGAUGACCAGUGUUUCCGGAUGCAACUUCCUCCUGAGUUUUAAAAGGAACUUUAAUUUGCAUUAAAGGCGAUUGUUUGCGUACUACUCGAAUGGUCGCAAAUCUCGUCUGCCUUCUCCGUUUGUUGUGUUGGUGACGGAGAGACUUCCGAGGUCUGAGACAUCGCGAAAGGUGAACGAUCGGAAAACAAGAUUAUUCACACAUGCAAAACUUAGGACGCAUUUACCGGCCAUUGAAAGGGUUUUAUGACAGCGUCGAGAUUCGUCGUGAUGAGUGGAACUGGAACCAUGAAAACAAUAAUGGAACGAUGCCAAGCGUACAAAUAAAUCUCGUUCACGGUGAGAAACGAGUACCUUUGGUUUAUUUUUCAAAGAAUUAUAAGACAUUAAAAGAAGAUUUUGUGACCAAAAAAGAGUUUUACGUGAAAUUGAAUCGUCUGGCCAAGUAGUCCACCAUAAGGCCUCCCUUCUUCGGGCCGAUAUAGGAGCUAUUGUACUCACCUCCACGUCGAGCCUUAAUUCCGUCAGUCACCGAUAACAGUGUUGUGAAAAAUCAAAGGACAUUUAGAUGUUGAUCAGCCAAAGGAUUGUUAACAUGGCCCUGUCUUGUUUUCAGUGAAGAUAGCGGUUCUGCUGAGGAUACCGAUAACGAAAGGAUAAUUACAAAUUGGACCAAAAAGGUGGGUCGUAAUAGCUGCAAUUGUCGGAACAUUGUGCUUGUAUAACGGCGAUCAGUGUUACUGUGGCUAAAUAUCUUGAGCUCCUGAUCCCUUUUAAGGCAAUUUGUGUAUUUAUAGGUAUGUGUCUUAAGUUUCGUGUGUUAGCAACCCGUUGGUUACAAAUUCGAUACAUAUUUUAAAACCAAACAGUCGGAUCAGAUGCAGUAACAACCUCGGUAGAUGCGUUCGCUUAGGCAUUAAUAAUUUGGGAAACUUGUUCGAUCACCAACUGCCAUGACAACACAUUAUACAUGUACUAAAUGCCAUUCGCUUGGUUUUGGGUCGUGCAGAAAACGGAAGAGUUUAAAUGUUGAAUUAUAAAUCAGUCCCAUGUAACUGUCAGGACUUGCUAGGAAGCGAUUUCUUGCAGCUGUAGGCAGCCCUACUUCUACUGCUACGUACGUAAGGUAAAGGUAGCUGAUUAACAUAUUCGAACCACGUGUUCAGACCACUUUUUUGUGACAACCGUUCAAAACGCGAACAAGAACUAAGCAAGAAUAAGGGUACAUCAUAACCAAACAAAUUAUGUAAGACUAUUUUGUUUAAAUAUAAAAAUAUACGGAUGUUCUAGUCCUACCGGAAAGUG
rnacentral:misc_RNA from 1 species